rnacentral:rRNA from 1 species
CAGUAGCCACGGUAAUACGUAGGUGGCAAGCGUUGUCCGGAAUUAUUGGGCGUAAAGCGAGCGCAGGCGGUUAGAUAAGUCUGAAGUUAAAGGCUGUGGCUUAACCAUAGUACGCUUUGGAAACUGUUUAACUUGAGUGCAAGAGGGGAGAGUGGAAUUCCAUGUGUAGCGGUGAAAUGCGUAGAUAUAUGGAGGAACACCGGUGGCGAAAGCGGCUCUCUGGCUUGUAACUGACGCUGAGGCUCGAAAGCGUGGGGCGCAAACAGGAUUAGAUACCCCGGUAGUCCAUGUCUCUUAUACC